ACAGGACCCCUGAAGCCAGGGCUAAGGCACCCAAAGCAUCCAAACAGUCCAAACAAGGCUUUAACAAUGAGUGGAAAUCCACAUUCUCAUCAAGCAAGACCUCCUUCACCAAAGGCAGGGUUUCGAUCCUGAGGAAUAAGUACGCCAUCUCCUGGGGCAAAUCCUCGAUCUCCUGGAGCAGAACCACAGUAAUUUUGGGCAACGCCGGCAUAGCAGUGGGCAAAACAUCUGUCACACGAGGGGAGACCACGAGCUCACUCACCACUCUGACACUCACUCAUGGGACCAAGUCUGUGUCUGUGGUCAAAACCACCCUCAUCAGGGGCAAAGAAACGCACAGCAACGUCUACUGGAAUUUUCACACAUGAAUCCUGCACACACUUAAAAAGCCAAGGAUAUGUCUGUCUGGUCAGUUUUAGCAGUCUUGGCAUAAUCAGCAGGAUCAGAUGACACAGGCAGACUCCUCACUGGCUGCAGCAUUGUGUAACACCGGCCGGUGCUGUGUUGAUCGUCCUGGACGGUUGCAGGGAGAAGUUCUGUGUCCUGGAUUCGUCCCAAAACACCCAUGAGAGAGAAAGAAAGCUUUGUUCUCUGAUGGACAUUAAGAUAAGAAUAAUAAUCUGGGCCAAAUCCAAAUAGAGUAAAAGAUGUAAACAUUUGAAAACUACAGCAGGGUGUGUCCCUAUCACUCUCUCACCCAUCCCCUCUGUGAACAAGUGUCAAGGAAAAGUGUUUUGUGGUCAGAGGAGGUGCAGAGGGAUCAGGGUGAACGUUGGACAGUGAGGGCGUCGGUCGGAGAAGAGUGUAAAUCAGAUGGUUUGAGCAUGACAGGGGGGGGUAAAGUGAGGAAUACCAGGGUGCUACUGAUGGUGAGAGGGCAGGCUGAUCUCCUGAUGAGAGACCUUAAGUCAAAUCUAGAGAAAUCUCUGCUGUAAUUUCACACACUUGACAGUGUCAUAAAUCAGGGACAAGGCAAAGAAACGUUACAGAAAUUGAACUAGAAAUCACAAUUAUUCCAAGACAUAACGAUUUGUAUUAUUUCUUCAAAAGUAAGAGGUGGUGAGUGUCACGUAAUGAUGCUACCGCCACACGUUACUACUCCUCGGAUUAAAAAACAAAGAGCUACCCACUUGCAGAAGCAUGUCCAGCUGAUGUGAAUAUGUAUAAGUGUUUACUAGAGAACAGAACGUUUUAUUCUCUCCUCUCGAGCAACUCCCCCACCCGCCACUAGAGCUCAGGACGUAGCUCAUCGAACCUCCUCUCCCUCCCUUGUUGCUUUUGUUUACAGGAAGCAGCUCGAGGGCCGACACCUCACGUCAGAUCUGUCCAGUCUCACUCAUCUUUAUCUAUGUUUUCUUAGGUUCACGUCAACAAGGAUGACAGCGCGGCAGCUCUUAGCCAGACUGAAGCAACAAAACCAGUGCAUUUCAAACAUCAGAGUGCAGCAUGAGGCCUGUAACACAAACCGUCCUGUGACCGCCUGUCGACUCCGCCAUGUUCCAUUCAGCUCAGAUAUAAACAAAGUUCAGCUUUAGCUGCAUGAAAAAUUCCCACCGGCUACAGAAAGGCUCAACCCUGUUGCCAUGUUAAGAUGGAACCUGUUGCUAGUGGCAACAGCACAGUCGACACAGCUGUCACUGUGGUUUAAUAAAUAUCUCCAAGUCUCUUUACUCUAAAAAGCCAUUCAAAAUAUAUUCCUUUUGAAUUUUUGGGUGUUGUCCGAUAUUCAUGUGUCAUCUUCAUCGUGAAGCCUGACCCCAGCCUCUGCAGGAUGAUACAUAGGAUAUGCACGUAGGAUUUAAAAUCAUUUGGAUGAACUCAAGUUGUAAGAUUUUCUUUUUUUCUGCCAUUAUUAUUUGAAUGAUGAGUCCUGGUUUCAGUCUAUUUACAGACGACCUGUUGUAACGCCUCCGAGCCCCUGACUCAGGCCUCAUCCAGAAACUGUUCCCUGUGGUGGUGCCAACAUUUGAUCAGGUUUUCCUUUGUUAUACUCACUCGUCUAUUGCUGUACAUAUGUGUCUCUAUUUCAAAUGAGUCGUAAAAAACACUGUAAACAAGGUAAUGAAACCCAGAGUAGAUAUAAAGCAGACUUUCUGCACAAGAUCGAGUAAAAUUCACUUGUCUGUCUGUUAUGUGAUCACGAGUGACGGACAGUGUUGAGGAACAUGAGACAACAGCAUGUGACAAAUUAACAGACAAAGACGUCCCUCAAAAUGUCAUAACUUCCUCAAAUGAACUGUUGGGAAUUGAAAAUGUUAAUCUGUGUGUUCUGAUUGUAUGUUAAACAUGUAUGAGGGGGGGGAAGUUCCGAUUUUAUAUAUACACAGAUGUAUAAGGGGAAAUAAAAGCUUGGCGUACUUGGUGUACUAAUGAAGCACUAACGUCAGCUUAGCUACUGUCGCCAGGCAGCCAAUGCAGCUGUGGCAGCAGCUGACGUGUCAGUCGGCACGGCAGCGCCUGGAUCCUGUGUCCUGCAUCCUGCCCCAGCCAGAGGGUCACUGCUGAUUCAGAGUCUCUCUCCUAUUUCACUGCACGUUCACAACAAACCUAUGACUACUUGAAUGAACUCUGACCAGAACGGCAUCAAGAAGAAGAACAUUAAAAGAAAAAAAAAAUAGGUCAGAAACGUCAUGAAGGAUGAGACAGGCAGCGACACUGACACGCCUGGAAGAAUAUUACCCGCGAUGUGAAGCUAAUCAAUAUCAUGUGAAAUGAAAGAAACUGUGUAGUAAGUGUUACUGACGGAAAGCUGUUUGAGAUUUAUUUCUGUCUUGUCCGAUGUUUGUCCUUAAAAUGCUUAAAAUGAUUAAAUCUGUCUUAGCACAUUCAGGUCUGACUGAAAACAACACUAAUUUCUCUGUGUUGUGAGUCCACUGUGAGAACUUCUCUUCUGUUGCAAGUAUACACUCUGUGUGGUGGUGUUGUUGUGUGUUUUUGCUUCACUGCACGUGUCACUAAAAUACAGUUGGACAGAAAGAGUCCUGGAAUAAAAAUGCUUGAUUGUG